UACGUAGGGUGCAAGCGUUGUCCGGAAUUAUUGGGCGUAAAGAGCUCGUAGGCGGUCUGUCACGUCGGCUGUGAAAACCCGGGGCUCAACCUCGGGCCUGCAGUGGGUACGGGCAGACUAGAGUGCGGUAGGGGAGAUUGGAAUUCCUGGUGUAGCGGUGGAAUGCGCAGAUAUCAGGAGGAACACCAAUGGCGAAGGCAGAUCUCUGGGCCGUAACUGACGCUGAGGAGCGAAAGCAUGGGGAGCGAACAGG
rnacentral:rRNA from 1 species